GUUGAGAUGGCUGAGUUGGUCUAAGGUGUUAGAUUAACAUUUUGGUUGUAAAGGGCGUGGGUUCAAAUCCCAUUCCCAACG